rnacentral:lncRNA from 1 species
CUAUCAAUUACUUUUCUUUUUUAUUGAUUUAUUUAAUAACGGUUAUGCCUCUAUAGACCUUAUUAAAUGAUUAUGUUUUCACAGCCUCUUACCUGAAAACAAGCUCCAUGACAUAUUUUUGACAAGAAAUUAAGCUGUCAAAUUGGCAGCAAACAGUGUUUUCUGUUUUUUGAGGGCAAAUAAAAACAACAGUAGUAUACCAUUUGUUCAUUAACCAUUGUUGAGGGCAGCUAUUAAGAAUGAAAUUGAAAUUGCAUGUUCAGACCAAAGUGCAAAUCUCCAAUCUAUCGUGGACCAUAACUCCUAAACAGCAAAAGUACAAAAAUAGUCAAUAUUGAGCUUGACUUUCGUUUUGUCAUCAGUAACAAUAUAUUUAAUUUGAAAACCAUUGAUUGAACAGUUUAAAAGGUUAUUGCAUAGACACUUUUUGCAGAUUUUUUUUU